AAAUCUAUCCAGAACAGUUCUUUACCUAGUUGUGAAAUACUCAUAAUUCAUAAUUACUCGUUAUUGGAAGUCUGACUAUAUUAUCAACACUCGCAAAAUAUAUUUUAAAAAAAGGUUUAUAAAUUAUAUUUUUAUAUG
rfam:Populus trichocarpa isolate Nisqually-1 chromosome 10, whole genome shotgun sequence.